rnacentral:rRNA from 1 species
AGCGAACGCUGGCGGCAGGCUUAACACAUGCAAGUCGAGCGGGCCUUUCGGGGUCAGCGGCGGACGGGUGAGUAACGCGUGGGAACGUGCCCUCUGGUUCGGAAUAACUCAGGGAAACUUGAGCUAAUACCGGAUACGCCCUUUUGGGGAAAGGCUUGCUGCCGGAGGAUCGGCCCGCGUCUGAUUAGCUAGUUGGUGAGGUAACGGCUCACCAAGGCGACGAUCAGUAGCUGGUAUGAGAGGAUGAUCAGCCACACUGGGACUGAGACACGGCCCAGACUCCUACGGGAGGCAGCAGUGGGGAAUAUUGGACAAUGGGCGCAAGCCUGAUCCAGCCAUGCCGCGUGAGUGAUGAAGGCCUUAGGGUUGUAAAGCUCUUUUAUCCGGGACGAUAAUGACGGUACCGGAGGAAUAAGCCCCGGCUAACUUCGUG